GGAUGAGUAGCUCAGUUGGAUAGAGCAUCGGUUUCCUAAACCGAGGGCCGUGAGUUCGAGCCUCACCUCAUUCA
rnacentral:tRNA from 1 species